UGACUCCUGUUCUGUGUAUGGCACUGGUAGAAUUCACUGUGAACAGUCUCAGUCAGUGAAUUACCGAAGGGCCAUAAACAGAGCAGAGACA
ensembl:miRNA MIR183 microRNA 183